rnacentral:lncRNA from 1 species
AAGAACUACGUGUGGCUUGAUCCCUCAAGGAGGGUACGUAGGCAGCCUGAGGUUAUUAGGUGCAGCCACAGACUAAAUAUUAGUCAUAUUUUGUAUUUGAAUUGUUUGGUAGUUGUUGGAGAAUUAUUGGAAGGCCGAAGGCCAUUUGUGUGGAUUGCAUGAAAUUAUAUUGUGCAUGCUGCCAGUUGUGGAUAUUAAAUGCGUUUUUAUGCAGG